rnacentral:rRNA from 1 species
AGUGAACGCUGGCGGUAGGCCUAACAAAUGCAAGUCGAACGGCAGCACAGGAGAGCUUGCUCUCUGGGUGGCGAGUGGCGGCCGGGUGAGGAAUACAUCGGAAUCUGCCCAGUCGUGGGGGAUAACGUAGGGAAACUUACGCUACUACCGCAUACGACCUUCGGGUGAAAGAGGGGGAUCGCAAGACCUCUCGCGAUUGGAUGAGCCGAUGUCGGAUUAGGUAGUUGGCGGGGUAAUGGCCCACCAAGUCGACGAUCCGUAGCUGGUCUGAGAGGAUGAUCAGCCACACUGGAACUGAGACACGGUCCAGACUCCUACGGGAGGCAGCAGUGGGGAAUAUUGGACAAUGGGCGCAAGCCUGAUCCAGCCAUACCGCGUGGGUGAAGAAGGCCUUCGGGUUGUGAAGCCCUUUUGUUGGGAAAGAAAUCUUUCAGGCUAAUACCCUGGGAGGAUGACGGUACCCAAAGAAUAAGCACCGGCUAACUUCGUG